CUCACAUCUGUCAGUCAACACAGCAGAAAGCACAACCACCAUGACUCUCAUCACCAUCCUCAUCUGGACGCUGACCUGCUGCUGUUUUACAGGAUGCAGCGGUCAGGUGACUGUGACUCAACCUCCAGUACUGACAUCUACUCCUGGAAACACUGUCACCCUGACCUGUAGGACCAGCCAAGCUGUUGGUGGCUGUAGUUACGGCCAGUGUAUGUUCUGGUAUCAACAGAAAUCUGGGCAAAUUACAAAGCUCCUAAUUCGACAUGUAAGCAUAAGACAUUCAGGAACACCAACUCGAUUUAGUGGCAGUGGAAGCAGCUCUGACUUCUCUAUGACCAUCAGUGGAGUUCAGGCUGAAGAUGCAGCAGUUUACUACUGUCAGAGUUACCACAGCGGUGGGGUGUGGACUUUUGGUGGAGGAACCAAACUCAUCGUUGGCUCGGGUGUGGUGAGACCCACGCUCACUGUCCUCCCUCCAUCCAAAGAGGAAGACAAACAGAGUAGUGCCACUGUGGUGUGUUUGGCCACCGGGGGCUUCCCCUCAAACUGGAAUUUGGGCUGGAAGGUGGGGAGCACCAGCACAUCCUCAGGGGUUUCAAACAGCCUGGAGGUCUUGGGGACAGACGGCCGCUACAGCUGGAGCAGCACCCUGAGCCUCUCUGCAGACCAGUGGAGGAAGGCGGGCUCAGUGAGCUGUGAGGCCAGUCUGAGUGGACAGAGCCCCGUCACUCAAACCCUGGACCCUGACCACUGCUCAGAGUAGAGCUUCAGCAACACUUCCUGUCUGCAUAUGAUGUGUUUUAUAUUUUGAUGAAGCUACAUGUUUCUGCUGUUGCGAUAUUUCUGCAAACAUUUGACUUUCUAAUGAU